rnacentral:sRNA from 1 species
AGGCACUUGUCUCAGAAAUUUUUUUUCCUAUAUACCUUAAAAUUUUUUUUUCCUAUAUACCUUAAUAUUAAGGUAUAUAGGAAAAAAAAUUUCUGAGACAAGUGCCU